rnacentral:rRNA from 1 species
AUACGGAGGGGGCUAGCGUUGUUCGGAAUUACUGGGCGUAAAGCGUACGUAGGCGGACUGAUCAGUUGGGGGUGAAAUCCCAGGGCUUAACCCUGGAACUGCCUUCAAUACUGUCAGUCUUGAGAUUGGAAGAGGUGAGUGGAAUUCCUAGUGUAGAGGUGAAAUUCAUAGAUAUUAGGAGGAACACCAGUGGCGAAGGCGGCUCACUGGUCCAAUACUGACGCUGAGGUACGAAAGCGUGGGGAGCAAACAGGAUUAGAAGCCCUAGUAGUCC